ensembl:lncRNA
GAAACUGGGGUAAUGUGUUUAGAACUUCUCAGAAGUAUGCAUUUAAAAAUCUGUUAAAAAAAAAAAUUUGAAGUUAUAUAAAGAAAACUUAUUGUAACUUACUUAGUGUACUUCAGUACCUAUUUCUCCCAGUUUCUAUUUAAUGCAUCAGGUGUAAUGACUCAAGAGUUUUCAAAGCAGCAGCUCCAUGUUGGGUAUUUUAGACAUAAUAAUCUACACAACUUUCCUAAGUGGAACCUGACCUUCUCUCAAGAGUAGACAGUAGUUGUUCUACAGUGUGCUUGAAAAUGAUUGAAAUUGUUUUAAGAAUCCUUUUUUUUUUUUGCUGAAUUUCUCUAUUUAAAUGCUAUGAACAAGUGUCUGGCUUUAGAUUAAUGAGUUAUUAAAUACAUUUUUGUAUCAAGUAACAGUAAUCUUGCUAGCAAAAUAGAUCUUGCAUAGCCACAGAACUUCUCAAUUUCUAUCAUACUGUAAUUACAAGUUGCACUUCUAAUGACUUCAGUCAAUUGGAAUGAGAAAGAAAUGUCAUGUCCAGGGCUCUUGUGUAGAGUUACAGCUGUCAAGAAUCUAACCUGGAGAGCAGAGAAUAGAAGGGGUUGUGUUUCAAAGGACCAUGGAAUCAUUAGAAUUCUUGGAGUUGGAAGGGAUCUUUAAAGGUCGUCUUGUCCAACUCUCCUCCACAAUGAACAUGGACACCACAGCUAGAUCAGGUUGCCCAGGGCCUGAUCUGGUCUUACCUUCGAAGUCUCCAGGGACAGAGCAUUCACAGCAUGUCUGGGUAACCUGUCUCAGUGCCUCACCACCAUCACUGUAAAAGACCUUUCUUAUAUCCAACUACUGAAAUCUACCCCCUUUACUCCUGAAACAAUUUACCCUUAUUUUAUCAGAACGGUUUCCAAUUUAAAGAAAAAUUUCUUGGCUCUGCUCCUAUAUAGCUCAUUUCUUUGUAAUUUCAAAGCCUUAAGUAUUAAUCAUAUCUCUAUUUGGUUGGAGUUACCCAACUAAUUUCUGAAAUCUGAGCAGAGAUCACAUGUGUAUCCAGAAGGAAAUGUCUGCAUUAGGUAUUGUUUUGCUCAGAAAUGGAGCUAUUCCGUCUCUGCUCUGCAGCUACCUUUGUUUUGAAAUUCAGGGUUAAAAACCCACGCUGAACAAUGGAGGAAAAAGAAACCCACAAUCUGAUGCAUAAGAAACUGUGAAAUAAAGGCAUUUGUUAUAAAGUUGUUAUAAAGGCAUUAAUAUUGCCCUUGGAGUUAAUUAAGAAAAUUCUGUGAAUUAUUACACACCUUUUUCAGCAAUAUCCUUCAAAUCAGAGAUGGUUUCUUGUUUAUUUUUCUUUUUAAGAAUACUCUCUGAGCAUAGGAAUACAGCAAAUAGUUUUUCCUCCACUACUUGUACAUUGGCUUUCACUUUUUUCACUACGAUAUGCAGAUAUGAAAUGCAGCUAAUGCUUGCUCUGAAAGGGACGGCUCAAUAAUAUCUGAGAAAUUUACUGGCUCCAGAUGUUCUUUGCAACAACAUUAUUUCUCCUGCCUAGGAGAAAAAAAAAACAAGGAAUGAUCCAGAGGAACCGUUGUUCUUCAGAUUUUCAGUUGUUCAAUAUGAUAUGUAAUAUGAAUGGCCCCUUCUAAGGGCUCACUAAAAUAAGGAAUAGCCUUGCACAGAAGAGUUGCUGAUUAUUAUUUGAAUGAAAGCCAAGUCACAGAGGAAAAGAAAUCUAGUUAGAUAAAAUAAUUUAGAGAUUAGUACUUUUCUACAUGUACGCUCUGCU